UCGCUGUAUCAUGACAGUGAGACUGGUAGGACUGUCUUUUCUGAUAUUCCAUCGCUCUUUCCUUUCAUUUUCACAACGUGUUAGCUAGCUAUUAUUUGUUGGGAAAAAUUAUCUGUGCUAUUAAAUGAAAAAAAUGAUUUAAUAAUCAUUCCGAUUCUUAUGUGCUGAAUUCUGCCGUUUGACAUUUUGUUUGUUUAUUUGAUGCUGAAGGGCUGAAAAAAAUCUUCAGUCAGCUGAUUCAUCAGCGUCAGUUAUUAUUGGAUGUUCUUUUGGCUAUUUAUUUUUAGUUUUGUUUUUGUGCUUUUUUUGCCAUGGUCACUUUUUAACAAAGAAAAAAGUAGUUUCAAAUUAUUUUUCAGUUCAUACGGAAUAUGCAGAAAACAUUCAGGUUUAAUAUUACUUUUUCUACAGAGACAAAGAAGGAGCUGUUUAUUUUUUGUGACAAAAAAAUGGCAGCUUGCAAAAAUGUUACAUGAAACAUUUGUCAUUUUUAUAAGCUGUCUUUACACCCAAAAAAAUCUAAAAAGUAAGAUCAUCUACGGUUUUAUGUAUUAAUCAAGAUUAUGGUAUGAAGAUACAUUGCAACAGUGUCUGAGUAUUUGCUAUUUUUGGGGGUCAAGCAUGCCUGUCUGAACUCAUGCCGUCCGUGCUGUUUCGUUUACGUCUUGCGGAAUGAGCAUCGUCAAGUGGUACCACUUUGCUGAAGCCUGCCAUCGGUGGGGCCGGACCGGUGGAGACUCCGGGUGGUCCGUCUGUGUUUUGUGUUUAGCUGUUUGCCGCUAUCGCCAGUCGUGUAAGCGAGGCCGGUUGCCCCGGGCUACACUGCUGGACAACCAAAAACUAACCCUGCCAGCCAUCCUGCCCUGUUCCAGCAUCGUUACAGGCCGUAACCCUCGUUACAGCGGCACCGGUGCGGGUGGCCGUCCGCAGCCAUCCCCGCUGUAAUUAAUUAUGAGACACAUGUUCGAAGAAUACAGCCUGGGGCAGUUUUUUAAUUAAGUGGAUACUUUUUUUUUUGUUUUGAUUGAUCGAAAUCAAUUAAAGGAUUCAAUGAAAUAUGAAGAAACUGAAGAUUACACUGACAUAAAAAAAAAAUGAAGAAAAAAAAGCAUGUUCAUAACAUAUUGACUAUGGAGCUUCCGGACUGGGGGCCGUGUUGUGAUGGACAGGUGUGUCCGGGGUGGGUGGCAACAACCUAUUUAAGGUGGCGACAUCCUAUUUAAGGUGGCAACAACCUAUUUAAGGUGGCACCAUCCUAUUUGAGGUCCAACAGAAGGCUGUAGGGACUUGAAUAAAAACUCCCAGGGCUCUCGGGGGUUCAAGACGGAUGCAGCUCCACACUGACAGAUCACUUCUGGGGAUCUUCACCACUCAGCUAGUCCUCCCUGCAGAAACAGCAGCAGAUGUUGUGGUGGAAUUAAGAGCUCUGUGUGGAACCAUAACCAUUUUGCUCGACUGAAUCAACACCCAUACAGGGGUGCCAUAAAUGGCUGGAUAGUCUGAGCCAUUCCGGGAGCCCUGAUGUGGAAAGGAGAAGAUGCCAGCCGUCUGCAGCUGGGGGUCCAGAAGACCCCGGAUUUCUAGCCUGGCCUCGCGCACCCAUCCAUCACCCAUAACCGCCUUCCCAGUACAGGGCUGUGACCAGCCUGCAGCCUUUCACUGGCGGCUCAGGAAACUGGACGGCAGACAUCUGACUCAGGAUGCCAGUCGUGGGACACGUGCUCACAAGCACACAAUGAGUAGUUUACUCCAUCCACUUAACCAGGAGGAGGCCAGAAGAAAAUAAACCCAGGACACUGUGGUGGGACCGUCAGCAUCACCAAACAGCAAGCAGCCAUAAACCAAAGCAAAUCUUUGCCAGCGCCUAGCUGUGCUUGGUCAUGCGUACAGUGACUUUCGAGACUGAAUCCCAAGCUAAUUGUCGCAUAGCACUGGACGGUUAUCUCUCCGAUAUAAACUUUAUCCUCUGCUGAGCCGAAAAAUCGGCUCCUCAUUUCUACUUAAAGAACAUCAAUCUUUUACGCAACAGGAGAGUUUUCCAAGCUUGAAAGAGCACUUUAGUCAGUAACACAAAGUUACUGCUCACCUAGAGCAAAGUGCGCUCAAAAUAUUCCAUUUAACAAGUUUUCUGCUGGAUGGUGUCACAGCAAGACGUGGUUUCUGAAAGCUCGUGGAUGGAUAUUGGGACUAUUUCACAAAUAAAGAACAUACACACUGUAGUUACCUUCACUUCCAGGAACACUUACAUUAUUUAUUUCUCAAAAAGCCCCGAAAAGUCCAGAAUUGCGUACACUUGAUGAGCAACCUUUAAUGAUAAUAUGACACAUAUUAGGCUUGAUUCCCAGCCCCAGCUGCAUGUGGAGGGAGUUUGCAUUCUUCACAUCUUUGUGUUGUGUUUCCUCUGAGUUCCUGCACUUCAAAAACAUGCAAUUAUGAAAAGCAACAUCUCCAAAUUGGCCUUAGUGUGUAAUUGCGAGUGUGUUCGUCAUCUGAUGGACCGGCAUCCCAGCCAAUGCAUCCCCUGCUUCCAGCCCCAGACGUACCAGGACAGGCACCUGGCGAGCAUUUACGGAACAUCGAUGAUGUUUUUAUUUUGAUUCAUUCCCCUUAAUUGGGCUACUCUCAAAGCAUGGUGCACAAGUGACAGUUUCGCAGAAUGCGACGUGCAAGGAAGCACGGUGGGUGAGGGUGUCGGCAAAUCCAACAGGAGAAGUGAGAUCUAUGAAUAUUUAUACCUAUUUAUAAAUAUGGCCUACCCCCCCCAAUCAGGUGAGCACAGUUCCAGUGGCAUGGCUGGGUGGAUGGAGAGGUGCCAGUCUCCACAGGGCAGUCGUGUCCUGACUGUCUAUACCUCACAGCAACGAUGGCAUAAGCAGCUUCCUUAACUCCUCCAAAGCUACUGCCCAGAAGACAGUUCAACCCCCUGGUUAGGGCAGUUAGGGCAAUUAGCAACCACCAGGAUCUUCCUCUUGGCACUCAGGGUGGCUCGCUGUGAGGAAACCAUGACUACCAUUGCCCACAUGGUGCUGAUCACCCCCCGCUGGUGCAGAUCCACAGUGCACCUUCACAACAUACUAAUUUGAGUUCUGUAGCUCAAUAACAGCAGAAUCCCUCCUGAUGCCAGAACAAAAACAAGUCAUCACAGGCCCUUAUAACAGGCUACUGAAGUCACUGGCCAGCAUGGGAACUUUCAUCUGUAGGGCGAUGCUUCUCAACCCGGUCCUUGGGGACCUGCAGACAGUCCACGUCUUUGCUCCCUCCCGGCUCCCUACCGAGCAACAAUGUGGAUUAUCUUGCAGAGAGCUGGGAGGGAGCAAAAACGUGGAGCGUCUGGGGGCCCCCAAGAAAAUGCUGGAAGCAAACUGCAGAGAAAUGGGAGCUUUCCUGUUCUCUUAUUUCAACAUUUUUAGGAAAAAAUAAAGUCCUUACCUUCAUUAAAUGUAAGUGGAGUGUAGCAGCUGGAAUUGCGCUUGAUUAGAGUGGGGGGUUAAAAUGGAUCAGUCCAUCCUGGGUAACCCAGAGCACUUUUGGCCUGACAUCGGCCUAUAUGGUGUGAAAGCUACAAAAGAUAACGGCAGCUAUCUCCGACAUAACGAGGAUGAUGACAGUGGUGAUGAUGACGGCACAAAUCACAGCCCAGAGGGUCACCUCCAACUUUCUGACAUCAAAUUCGCUUCAUUCCCCAUAAAUCCAGUUGAAUGUACUUUAAAUUACUUUUGGGUACUAUUCAUUACACAUUUUUUGCUAAAGAGAGAUUGAUAGCUUUAUUAAUAUGUCUUAAAGAUGCUAGUUACCUAAUUAAAAGUUAAGAUUUAAGAUUUUCUUUUUGAACGGUGCAACAAUCCUCAGAUAUGCAAGCCCUGGAUAUUAUUUUAUCAGGAUCUGUUUGAAAUAAACACCGAUGGAGGCUGAUGAGA